rnacentral:rRNA from 1 species
GGCCGGCUGUAUAAAAAUAUAAACCACACUGUUC